GGGCUGGUGAGCCGGGUGAAAGCCGAGAUUCAGGGCGCCAAGGAGGAUGUGGGGCUGGUCUCUGUCUGGGUUCAACUCCAGGUGCCCCGUAUCGAAGACGGCAACAAUUUUGGGGUCGCAGUCCAGCCCCCCCUCUCCCCCUCCCCAGGAGAAGGUGUUUGAGCUGAUGACGGCCUUGCGGACGAAGCUGGAAGGAUUUCAGACCCAGAUCUCCAAGUGAGUCCCAACUUGGGGGGACCCCCCCCCCCGUCCCAUCAGCUUGGUUAAAAGCAAAACAAAGAAUCAACCAACCACCCACAAAAACCCAGAAAAUUCAAGGGCCAAACCCACUGUUAAACGCUGGGGGGGGGAAAGAACUU
rnacentral:lncRNA from 1 species